rnacentral:rRNA from 1 species
CAGCAGUAGGGAAUCUUCGGCAAUGGACGAAAGUCUGACCGAGCAACGCCGCGUGAGUGAAGAAGGUUUUCGGAUCGUAAAACUCUGUUGUUAGAGAAGAACAAGGAUGAGAGUAACUGUUCAUCCCUUGACGGUAUCUAACCAGAAAGCCACGGCUAACUACGUGCC